UCCUCACGCAUAGCAUAGGGUUCCUCUCGAGAGAGGUGCGCCGCCGCCGCCGGAUUCCUCCUCCCGGUGAAAAGUCCUUCCCCUACCUUCUUCCUUCAUGGUAAGCGAUCUCCAGCCCCCUACCUCCCGCAUCUUCGCCGCCAGCCUCCUCCCACGCGCGCUAGGGUAGCCUGCGUCCUACCAUCUCUGCGGCGCCGCCUGCGACUUCACCAGCAUGUAAAUCCCUGUAGAUGCGGGGAGCUCGACAUGGAGGAUUGCCUUCGCCAGGCUGAGGGGUCGACCUGGAAGCCGCCUUGAAUGACCACAACGGAUCUGGCCAUCAGCGAGUAGGCCGAGCCUCCUGCUCCGGCCACGGCCAUCCCGACGUCGGAUCUGGUGCUCAUGCUAUGUUCUUCUCCUCGUGCAACCCCUCCCCCAUGUUUAUUUUGCCUCUGUCCUACCCCGCUCUGCAUCAACUAACUCGGCGCUGCAUGAUCCUGGGGCAGCGAGGUUGAUCGGAUGGUGUUCGUCAUGUUAGGAAGAUGAGUGUGUAACUCGUGGAGUGCAAUCUGUUGCGUGUUAGGAAGUGGCCGUGACCUUGAUGGGUUGGGGCUCGCCUCCCACACUUCUCUUCCUCGUGUACAACAACCAUGGCGGCCCCUACAUAUGCUUGAUCUAAAAAUCCCUUGAAUUCGUUGCCCAAGUUGAAUCCUAUGACCUGACUGUCUGUCAUGGUGCAGGUGUCGAAUUGUUGAUGGAGGCUUUAGGUCGUCCUUCUCAAGGAGCUGAGGCUGGCCAUUAAGGAUCUGGGGUGAAGGUCAUGUCAUCUCUUCUCGUGGCUCUAAUGCCCACUGCUUCCACUGCUUAUAUUUUGAGCUCUUUGAUCUGAGCAAAAACCAUGGGAAGGUACUGCUGAAUCAAUAGCAGCAUGCCAGAAACUGAAGGCAGACAGACCUCCAAGCAGCAUUCUGUGUCCUCCCAAAGGACAUGCAGCAGCUGCUGCUUUCCAAUCCCAAACGAGCCGUACUUCUUCAAGCGAGCCAAGAAAAGGUCUCAAGACUUGGGGACAUUGUCUCCCAGACAAAUGCUGGGGUGCGAACUGUCCCAACAACGACACUUCUGCCUGCUGACUGCGUGAAGGACUGCCUGGCUCAACCUCUAUCUCAAUGUUAACUCAAUGCCCAACAAUGUCGUCAAUUGUGAGCAAGCAGUUACUUCAAAUUUCAUUGCCCAAAUGCCGUAUGUACGUACCCUGAGUACAAGAGACGAUGGAUGCAAAAGUCAGAAAAUUAGGAACCUGAAGGGAAAAUGGAAGGCGGCUUUGAUCGACAUUCAGCCCAGAGUACAAGGAUGAUCCCUACAUCUAUACUUUUGAUAUGCUGAAGCACAUUGGCAUUGAGCCAAGGCAGAUGUAGGGCAGUGGUGGCGGGUGCAUAUGUAGGGCAGCGGGAGCGGGUACAACCAUCUUAGGGAGAUCCUCUUCUCAUAUCAUGCCCAGUUGUUACUCCUCCAUUCGCUCGCCUCUCACCAUAUGUUCUACAAUAGCACGAUGGCGGCGGCACAGAUGUGUGCAGCGGUGAUGUUCUGCUCAAGGAGAGUCUCUGGCGGCUCGGCGGGGAUGCGCCGACCCUCUCUACGUCAGCAUUUUCUGGCGGCAUCCACCCCAUCCAUCGAUGGUGUGGCGCCUUUGAUCCAGGAAAGGAGGUAGUGGCCUUCUUCAGUGGUGUGUUGGAUGUGCCGUGCUGGGGCCCGUAGCUGCUUGGCGACGGCAUGCCCCACUGGUGUCAGGCCCUCUCUCCUUCGAGCUGAUUGUAUACAUGCACAAGCUAAAUAUCGGUUGCAAGAGGUUGGAUGAAGAUGCAACACAUUCAUGUAAUUAUGUUGCUCCUGCACUGUGUUUAUGCACAUUUUUUAGUAUGAAUCACUACACGCUGGAGAAGUUCCUGGAGGCGAUCAGGAGCAGAGGCAUCAAGAUAUGCCCUGGGUGCAAUGCCUCGCAGGCUGUAGCACCUGCCCAGUUAUGCAUAUGUCGGCAAGACAAGUUUUGCCUGCUCUGCUUCAUAUCAGUCUCUUCUCAUCGCGGCCAGAGCUUGGAAGCAAUUCAACUAGGCACCAUGACGCUGGAUGGAAGUACAACUUCUUGGUUUGGUUAUUCGAAUGUA